rnacentral:rRNA from 1 species
UACGUAGGGCGCAAGCGUUGUCCGGAAUUAUUGGGCGUAAAGAGCUCGUAGGCGGUUUGUCGCGUCUGCUGUGAAAACCUAAGGCUCAACCUUGGGCUUGCAGUGGGUACGGGCAGACUAGAGUGCGGUAGGGGUGACUGGAAUUCCUGGUGUAGCGGUGGAAUGCGCAGAUAUCAGGAGGAACACCGGUGGCGAAGGCGGGUCUCUGGGCCGAUAAUUGACGCUGGAGGAGCGAAAGCGUCGGGGAGCGAACAGG